CUUUUCUCCUUGUGUAUUAGCAAUUGAGAUUUGUUUUUCUGGUGGGUUUUGUGGAAUACCAUUUCUGUCAUUUUCACGUUCUUCUUUUAUUGUUUUGGUGAUUCUCUUUUGUUCAUAUUCGAUGCUUGAAGCUUCCAUUUAGUUCUUGCUUCAUGUUUCAUCAUUUUGAAAACUUGCUUGUGUUGUUAGCCAAGAAACGUUGGACUAAUUUUUUGUUCAUAAGAUGAGCUGCUGCCAAGCUUAUAGAUUUUGCACAAACAUGUGAGUCCUGAAUGGUUCAUAAGAAUAUCUUUUAUUUUUCCUUCAUGUAGAUCGAUAGCAACACGGAUGAGCUAAGUAGAUUUUACUGAGUUUGUUGCAGCUACUCUUCAUGUGCAUCGAAUGGAGGAACAUGACUCAGAGAAGUGGCAGCCGCGGUCACAGGCCACUUUUUUGAAAAAUUUGACAUUGAUCGUGAUGGUUAUAUAACCCCAGAAGAACUUCGACUGACAGGUUUGAAAGGCUCCCUUGGUCCUCUGCUAGAGGAAGCAAACGUCGACAAAGAUGGGAAAAUAAGUUUAUCGGAGUUCAGAAGGCUGUUAAGAACUGCAAGCAUGGGCUCUCAAAACUUGCCGAGCCCAUCUGGUUAUUGGAAUU